rnacentral:rRNA from 1 species
UGGGGAAUAUUGCACAAUGGGCGCAAGCCUGAUGCAGCCAUGCCGCGUGUGUGAAGAAGGCCUUCGGGUUGUAAAGCACUUUCAGCGGGGAGGAAGGCGGUGAGGUUAAUAACCUCAUCGAUUGACGUUACCCGCAGAAGAAGCACCGGCUAACUCCGUGCCAGCAGCCGCGGUAAUACGGAGGGUGCACGCGUUAAUCGGAAUUACUGGGCGUAAAGCGCACGCAGGCGGUCUGUCAAGUCGGAUGUGAAAUCCCCGGGCUCAACCUGGGAACUGCAUUCGAAACUGGCAGGCUAGAGUCUUGUAGAGGGGGGUAGAAUUCCAGGUGUAGCGGUGAAAUGCGUAGAGAUCUGGAGGAAUACCGGUGGCGAAAGCGGCCCCCUGGACAAAGACUGACGCUCAGGUGCGAAAGCGUGGGGAGCAAACAGG